CCAAGUUGAUUAAAAAUAACGGACCUGAAAACUUCAGCCUUCUCUUUGCAAGGAGCCACGAGAGGAGGAAACACGGGAGAGCAUGGAAAUGGUUUCUUCAGUAAAAACAGACCAACCAAAAUACCUGCACGCCCUUGUCAGCCAGAUAUCCAGUGUCAAUUUGGGACAAGUGACAGUCUCCUGACCUCCCCGUGGGAAAACUCCUGGUGCAUCCCAGCCUUCCUCCUUGUCCUGCCUCCUCUGCUCUCCUGUAGUUUCAGCAAAGGUGGAGCUGAUUGGCCCAAGAGUCUCCACUGGCCUGGGUGACAAUCCAGUCGACUGAGUUAGCUUCACCACCUUCAGAUUUCAGUGCCAUUUGUCUUCCCAGCCUUCUCAGAUGACUGAUGGAUGUCCCCCAAGGCCUGAUGCACUCACCGGGGCUCUGAGAAGGAGGCAGAAUCGUGGGCUGUAGCUG